AUCCUUUUGUAGUUCAUAAGCAUGAUGAUUGGGUUUUCACAAAUAUGUGUGAGAUGUGCCUCCCUCAAACCCUGUUACAACGUCAGCAUAUUACUUCUCUGAUG
ensembl:snoRNA